GUGCUCGCUUCAGCAGCACAUAUACUAAAAUUGGAAUGAUACAGGGAAGAUUUGCAUGGUCCCUGUGCAAGGAAGACACGCAAAUUAAGUGAAUGUGGAAAUAAGU